GCCCCCGUGGUAUAAUGGAUAACACGAGGCACUUCGGAUGCCUAAUUGAGGGUUCGAAUCCUUCCGGGGGCA
rnacentral:tRNA from 1 species